GGCGAUGUAGCCAAGUGGUUACGGCGAUUGAUUAGAAAUCAAUUCCUCUUGUAGGGCGUAGGUUCGAGUCCUGCCAUCGUCG
rfam:Fibulorhizoctonia sp. CBS 109695 unplaced genomic scaffold FIBSPscaffold_163, whole genome shotgun sequence.